rnacentral:rRNA from 1 species
AUGAGUCCACCAUACCUUCCUAUAUGCGGUAUUUACCUGCCGUUCCAAGUAAAUUUGUAUGUGCCAAACUCCAAACCUUCAAAUGAAAUUCUGUUUUGUAUAUUCGAGCAGCUCAUGUUUCCACUAGGGCUGCCUAUAUCUUCCAUGCUAGGUGGGUUAUUCUCAAGAGGAGUGGACUCCGCUCCUCAUUCACGAGAAAGGGCCGGUAAUCGGGAUGCCCAGUCCCAUGAUCCAAAAAGAUCAAAGCAAAUCAAUAUAAUUGAACAAAACUCCCCCAGGAUUGUUGUUAGUUGGAGGCACUCGUUGUUUCGAGCAAGCCAUGGAUUGAUGCUUGUUGGUGGUGGGGGAGUAUAA